rnacentral:piRNA from 1 species
UGGGCUCUCCUGGAUACAAGACAUUGUCCA